UAAAAAAUACGUCAAGUUAAAGCCUUCAUGGCAGCUAUCGAGCUAACUUACUUUUACCCGCAAGUGCGACCGCACAACGCCAAACCACUGGAGCGUUAGAGCGAACUACUCAAGGCAACGACUCCGCCUUUUUGGCCCUACGCACGGUUCACCAGUCGCCGUGGUUUGGUGGGUACCUGGGUACGCGUAUUCUCCUAGACCGAAAAAAAAGGUGAGGAUCAAGAGUGUCUCCUGAUUGAUGGUAAAAGUGGGAAAAUGAAGAACCACGAGUAGCAGUGGACCAACGAGGAAUUUCUCAAUCAGCCAGUCCCGGGCGCAAUCAAUCUUUCGGACACCAGAAGAAGAAGAAGAAGAAGUUGCAGCCACUCGCAGCAACGGUAAGGACAACCAGAGCAAAAGGAAGACAUCGGACUGGCCGAAGAUAAUGAGGAAUUUCUCAAUCAGCCAGAGCCCCAACCAUAAUCGAUCUACCACAUGGUCAAGUGAAGGAGCCUGAGCCUAUCCUGCCCAUAGCAGGGCUACUAUAGGUAUAAAAGAGCAACCGAGCAACGAGGCAAAGUCAAGUGAACCAGCAAUACAGCAAGUAUGAGAAAAAGCCUAGCGAGGAGCAACCAAGGGCGGGCACCGGGACCCAGCGGGAAGCCGACGGAUUCUUCAUCCAAACUUUCAUGCAGACUCCGCCAGUCUCCUGGUUAACUAGAUGCCAGGGAAGAUUUCUUCGUGAAGGGUUGCUGUUAUGGGAGUGAUGACGACGAGGCCUCUUGCGAAACGUUAAGGCAAAGUCAAGCAAGUAGAAGAAGAGGAAGAAGGAGAGGAAGAAGAAAAAGAAGAAUUAAGAUAGUGGAAAGAUGGCCUCGGGGUGCCAGACAAGGUAUAAGCGUGUCAGUGAAUUUAACCUAACCUAACCCAGACCCAUAAGCAAGCAUUGUAAAUGCAUAAGCACACGUGUAUACCUUGUUUCUCGCACUUUGCAAUCCACGCGUCAAUUCUUUCAUGCAUUUCGAACUUGUUUGCUUAACCUUGGUCAAAUAAGAAGAGUAUAUUUCGAUUCGUUCAUAGGGUAAUUGCAUAUUUCUCGUAAUCUCUGCGGAGAUCUAGGAUAAAGUUUUUUUUUUUGUAAUUAACGAAAGGAAUCAGUUUGAGCAUAAUUGAAUUUAUGGAUAUACAUGGCUUGAUUCUACUUAGGAAAACAGAUUGAUUGGUAAGAAAAUUUUUCUCAAAGUUUUUUCUAUCGAGGUCGACUGUAAUGGGGCGUAGUAGUGUACUGUGGGUAUAUAUGUAUAUAGACUAUGUCCUGGAUUAUAUAGACAAAGGAAAUGGAAGCACUAAGGGAUUCUCUUUGUCGGAAGAUGGCAGACACGAAGCACACUUAGCCUUCCUAAUUGUCCCCGAAGCUUUACUCGUACUGCUAUGUGACCUGGUGCCAUCUUGGAAGGCUUGUUUUAAGUUCAGCCGCCGUGACGGGAUGAUCGUAUCUCGAGUUGGAAUUUUAUAGUAUUCCUUAUGGAAUUUCCGAGCGGGUACUACCUUCCAUUGUGAAUUCUGCCUGGGGAGUGGUAUCUAUCCCUUACGAAAUCUCAGGCUGGGCGUUACUUUGACAUCAUCCGGGAUCGGUUAAAUGGGACUCGGAGCUUACGUACUGUGUAUGAAGAAUUCCCAUAAGGUCCCAUUAACAAGAACGUUAGAAAUUUUUGCCAUUACCGGAAAAAUGUUGAAAAUUCAGUGGAAUUAUUGUUCCGUAAAAAUUAAGAAU